GCGCUCGUCGCCCAAUUGGAUAGAGCAUCUGACUACGGAUCAGAAGGUUGCAGGUUCGAAUCCUGCCGAGCGCGCCA
rnacentral:tRNA from 1 species